rnacentral:tRNA from 1 species
UACAUUAUGGUGUAUAGGCAUAAAAGAUUUUGAUUCUUUAGGAAUAUUUAGAUUAUUUAAUGUAA